UACGGGGGGGGCAAGCGUUGUUCGGAAUUACUGGGCGUAAAGGGCUCGUAGGUGGCCAACUAAGUCAUACGUGAAAUCCCUCGGCUUAACCGGGGAACUGCGUCUGAUACUGGAUGGCUUGAGUUUGGGAGAGGGACGCGGAAUUCCAGGUGUAGCGGUGAAAUGCGUAGAUAUCAGGAGGAACACCGGUGGCGAAGGCGGGUCUCUGGGCCGAUACUGACGCUGAGGAGCGAAAGCGUGGGGAGCGAACAGG
rnacentral:rRNA from 1 species